UCUACUUCUGUAUUUUCUUGACAUUUUCCAUAAUAACAACUAAAAAGUAAAGAAUUAAAAGACUCUUUACCACUUAUAACACUUGACUCUGUUAUACUAGAUUAGAAUUUGAGAAACAAAAAACUCGUCUUAACGUUCAACUCGAAUAUAGUCGCAAUCAGCUGAAGAAGAAACUGAGUAAGAUCAACACUUUAAAAGAAACCAUCCAGAAAGGCAGAGAGGACAUUGAUGACCUAAAGCAGGCUGAAGAAAAUUGUCUGCAAAUUGUGGAUGAACUCAUGGCAAAGCGGCAGCAACUUAAGGACGUAUUUGUCACUCAGAAUGCCAACGCUGAGAAGGUCCAAGCUCAGCUGGAAGAAGAACGGAAGAAAUUUUUGGCUAUUGAUAGGGAAGCGGGAAAAUGGCAAAAAGAAGUUGUAAUCAUUCAAACUUCUUUGGAACAGAAACGGCUAGAGAAGCAUAAUCUGCUGCUUGAUUGCAAAGUUCAAGACAUUGAAAUAAUCCUUUUGUUGGGAUCACUGGAUGACAUCAUUGAAGUGGAGGUAUUCUACAUCAGGAUUUCAAAAUAAGUGCGGUCGUGGGGAACUUUAUGUGAUGCCCUUUGGCUGCUUAGUGAAGUCCCAGGUCUGCAGACGCUUCCCCUGGGCCUAAAGCUCCGUUAGGAGUGGAGAAGGCAUCUCCUCCUACCACGAUCGUCAUUGCAGAGGACUGGGCAUUUCGUGCAGUUCUGUCUCUUGCUGAUCCAUGUCCUUUUAGCCCCACAGGAUGGGCUGGAGUUUCUUUCCUACACAUUAGAUCCCAAGAGGAAUCAGAGAAUUCGAGCUGUUGGCGUCAGUGACCUUUGGGGCUGGUGUUAGGGAAGCAGCUGCUGUGCACUUCGGAAAGAGCAUCUUCCCAUUAGCCCAUCCACAGCCAGUGACAGAAGGGUUUGUCCUGCCUCUCAGGUCAUCUCUGAGCUCUUCGCCGGGGUCUCCCUUCCACAUCCCUCCUCCCCUCUCUGCUCUGCCCCAGCAGACAGACAGCUACUCUGUUCCAUCUAUCCCCCACGCCAGAA